GUCCAUUUCACAUAAAGGAGCAACGAUAUAUGUUUAUAUUAUUCAAAUUAUUCAAACAUGACUAAUUUUCGUGUCCUCUAAGACCAAAGUGACAGAACCUUCCACACUCUGAACUGCGUGUUAUUCAAACAUGACUUGGAAAGUUUAUAAAUAUAUAUGAGUCUCCAUAUGGGUUAGUGCCAGCUUAUCGCAGUCGGCACUCACCUAUUGACAGGAAAGGAUGUAUUUCAACCGAUAUGUGGCGAUUCUGCUGGCUGUUCUCCUCAUGGUUACCUUGGUCUCCAUGGCUCCUAAGGCUGAGCCAAUAGGAUUCCAUCAUUACCAGUAUAGCAGAAAAACAAAAGAAGUGACGGGGGCGUAGUAGGUCGAAUCAACCACAAUCUCACCAGGAAUAAGAUGACUCGACAGUGACGUCAUGAUCUCAGAUUAGACUUCGGUUGGAUAAGCUGCGAAUAAAAGUCUGACGUCAUCAA
rnacentral:lncRNA from 1 species